rnacentral:rRNA from 1 species
UGGGGAAUUUUGGACAAUGGGCGAAAGCCUGAUCCAGCAAUGCCGCGUGUGUGAAGAAGGCCUUCGGGUUGUAAAGCACUUUUGUCCGGAAAGAAAUCCUUGGCUCUAAUACAGUCGGGGGAUGACGGUACCGGAAGAAUAAGCACCGGCUAACUACGUGCCAGCAGCCGCGGUAAUACGUAGGGUGCAAGCGUUAAUCGGAAUUACUGGGCGUAAAGCGUGCGCAGGCGGUUUGCUAAGACCGAUGUGAAAUCCCCGGGCUCAACCUGGGAACUGCAUUGGUGACUGGCAGGCUAGAGUAUGGCAGAGGGGGGUAGAAUUCCACGUGUAGCAGUGAAAUGCGUAGAGAUGUGGAGGAAUACCGAUGGCGAAGGCAGCCCCCUGGGCCAAUACUGACGCUCAUGCACGAAAGCGUGGGGAGCAAACAGGAUUAGAUACCCUGGUAGUCCACGCCCUAAACGAUGUCAACUAGCUGUUGGGGUUUUAUUAACCUUAGUAGCGCAGCUAACGCGUGAAGUUGACCGCCUGGGGAGUACGGUCGCAAGAUUAAAACUCAAAUGAAUUGACGGGGUCAUAGCUG